rnacentral:siRNA from 1 species
AAGAAAUCCUUCUGAAGCCUCCGA